rnacentral:rRNA from 1 species
GGGCCCGCACAAGCGGUGGAGCAUGUGGUUUAAUUCGAUGAUACGCGAGGAACCUUACCAGGGCUUAAAUGUAGUGGGACAGGUCUAGAGAUAGACCUUUCUUCGGACUCAUUACAAGGUGCUGCAUGGUUGUCGUCAGCUCGUGCCGUGAGGUGUCAGGUUAAGUCCUAUAACGAGCGCAACCCCUAUCGUUAGUUGCCAGCGGGUCAUGCCGGGAACUCUAGCGAAACUGCCGGUGCAAACCGAGAGGAAGGUGGGGAUGACGUCAAAUCAUCACGGCCCUUACGUCCUGGGCCACACACGUGCUACAAUGGCCGGUACAGAGAGCAGCCACUACGCGAGUAGGAGCGAAUCUACAAAACCGGUCUCAGUUCGGAUCGCAGUCUGCAACUCGACUGCGUGAAGCUGGAAUCGCUAGUAAUCG